UACGUAGGGGGCUAGCGUUGCUCGGAAUCACUGGGCGUAAAGCGCACGUAGGCGGAUCUUUAAGUCAGGGGUGAAAUCCUGGAGCUCAACUCCAGAACUGCCUUUGAUACUGAGGAUCUCGAGUCCGGGAGAGGUGAGUGGAACUGCGAGUGUAGAGGUGAAAUUCGUAGAUAUUCGCAAGAACACCAGUGGCGAAGGCGGCUCACUGGCCCGGUACUGACGCUGAGGCACGAAAGCGUGGGGAGCAAACAGG
rnacentral:rRNA from 1 species